ACCCCCGGCUACGAUUGGUCCGACUACGGGCGGGGCGGGGCGGGGCGGGGAUGUUGACUGACAGCCGCGCAAGCUGGUUGAUGAGCCCAGUGGCGAACACAAGAAGUCGGCACUGCCUGUGCUACCCGCCCCCCACCCCCCACCCCCCGGGGGAGCUUGUGUCUGAUGACUGUGUGACUGGACCCUUUUGGAGACACAAAUACAGAUGACCUUCGGACAUCAGCGUUUCCCUGGAGCGUCCCUCAGCUGAUUCUCUGCCUGAGAACUGGCCACAAAGCUGGCCCAGCAGUGGCGGAGUUGCUGGGACCAGAGAAACACUGCUUGCCAAACGUGAGCAUGGAGACAGCAGGGUCUUGACGCUUCUCUCUUUGAAGUUAGUCUCUUGGCAAAAGUGCCAGAAUAUUCCACCCGAACCACACUCAAUGCUGGAUUAUCCUAGUUUGGACAUUUUAUGUCAAAAGCAGUUUGGUGAAUCUGAGAUGCUGAGAGGAGUUCCUAAAGGACGGAAGGGACUGUGUGGGACAAAAGACAUUCCUGGCUCCGCAGUGUUUCUCAAAAGCAACUUGACUGGGGUCCAGAGAAAAAGAAUAUACAGCCUUGGUGAGUCUCAUCAUCAGACAUGCUGACCUGACCUGCUUAAUCUCCUGAUGUCUUGAACUUUCAGCCGGAUCCAGUCAAGACACGGACAUCAGAGACUAAAUCAGUUGUUGGUGUGGCCUUCUUAAGGCCAACCAACUCCCCUAUUUUCCCUACCCUUCCCCCGCUUCAAAAUAUCUCCAUGCCCAUCUUCAGCUUAAAAAAGUUAUGAAGA